rnacentral:rRNA from 1 species
GAUGAACGCUGGCGGCGUGCCUAAUACAUGCAAGUCGAGCGAACGGACGAGAAGCUUGCUUUUCUGAUGUUAGCGGCGGACGGGUGAGUAACACGUGGAUAACCUACCUAUAAGACUGGGAUAACUUCGGGAAACCGGAGCUAAUACCGGAUAAUAUUUUGAACCGCAUGGUUCAAAAGUGAAAGACGGUCUUGCUGUCACUUAUAGAUGGAUCCGAGCUGCAUUAGCUAGUUGGUAAGGUAACGGCUUACCAAGGCAACGAUGCAUAGCCGACCUGAGAGGGGGAUCGGCCACACGGGAGGUGAGACACGGACCAGGCGCCUGCGAGAGGCAGCAGUAUGGAAUCUGCCGCAAUGGUCGAGAGCAUGACGGAGCAGCGCCGCGUGAGUGAUGAAGGUCUUCGGAGCGUAAAACUCUGUUAUUAGGGAAAAACAGAUGUGUAAGUAAAUGUGCACAGCGUGACGGUACCUAAUCAGAAAGCCACGGCUAACUACGUG